ACGAACGCUGGCGGCAUGCCUUACACCUGCAAGUCGAACGAGACCUUCGGGUCUAGUGGCGCACGGGUGCGUAACGCGUGGGAACCUGCCCUUAGGUUCGGAAUAACUCCCCGAAAGGGGUGCUAAUACCGGAUAAUGUCUUCGGACCAAAGAUUUAUCGCCUUUGGAUGGGCCCGCGUUGGAUUAGCUAGUUGGUAGGGUAAAAGCCUACCAAGGCGACGAUCCAUAGCUGGUCUGAGAGGAUGAUCAGCCACACUGGGACUGAGACACGGCCCAGACUCCUACGGGAGGCAGCAGUGGGGAAUCUUGGACACUGGGCGAAAGCCUGAUCCAGCAAUGCCGCGUGAGUGAUGAAGGCCUUAGGGUUGUAAAGCUCUUUUACCCGGGAUGAUAUGACAGUACCGGGAGAAUAAGCUCCGGCUAACUCCGUG
rnacentral:rRNA from 1 species